UUAUCAUCUGAGACAUAAAAUUGGAAUCCCAACUUCCAAUAUCAAAUUUUAGCACAAACCCUAUAAAAUGUAUCUUGUCAGAAUGUGUCAGAACCGCUAAGCUCUUUGCAGCUGAACAGGCUGCAGCUGGUGCUUCGUCCUUAAGGCUGAGCAUCAACUCUGUGUGUCCUCGGGGGCUGAGGCAGUAAUUUGGUCGUUUUCCCCCUGCCGCUGGGCUGGCCCGGGAAGCCGCGGGGUUAGAGGCGCUUCGUCCCCGAGGCUGGUCUGGGUGACACGAGCCUGCGGGGCCGAGCCCGAGGCCUGGAGAUAGGACCCGCCAGCAAAUAUGCAAGGAAUGUUUUUCUUCGGAUUCUACCGAGGCGCACGGGCCAUGGGGAUCCUGUCUGCGGUGACAGCCCUAACAUUUGCCAGAGCCCUGGACGCUGCUGCAGAAAUGGCAUUGCCCACCCGGAAAGUGAGAAGAUCGUGUAAGGAGGCCAAAGGAUGGUUUUCCGAGGCAUUUCGUCAAGGGGAGAGAAACGGCUGCUUGGAAAUGAGCUCUUAGAGUCAGCCCGGCACUCUCAGGAGCAGUACCAGAGGACACCAGAUGUCUACAUGCAGAAGAAAAAAAUCAUUUGGAGUAGAAAAGCCCACCGCUUCCCCACACCCGAUGCGUGCCUUAACCUACUCGAGACUGUGUGUCACCUACAUGGGAAAAGAAUCACGUGUUUCCAUGUGUGUGUAUAACUGACUCA